rnacentral:rRNA from 1 species
AAUGAACGCUGGCGGCAGGCCUAACACAUGCAAGUCGAACGAGUGGCGGACGGGUGAGUAAUGUCUGGGAAACUGACCGAUGGAGGGGGAUAACUACUGGAAACGGUAGCUACUACCGCAUACCAUCGGAUGUGCCCAGAUGGGAUUAGCGAGUGGGUGGGGUAACGGCUCAACUAGGCGACGAACCCUAGCUGGGCUGAGAGGAUGACCAGCCACCCUGGAACUGAGACACGGGCCAGACUCCUACGUGAGGCAGCAGUGGGGAAUAUUGCACAAUUGGCGCAAGCCUGAUGCAGCCAUGCCGCGUGUAUGAAGAAGGCCUUCGGUUUGUAAAGUACUUUCAGCGAGGAGGCGUUACUCGCAGAAGAAGCACCGGCUAACUCCGUGCCAGCCGCCGCGGUAAUAC